rnacentral:lncRNA from 1 species
UGCUGUUGAGUUGUAUAAGUUGCUUAUAUAUUCUAGAGAUUAAGCCCUUGUCAGUUGCAUCAUUUGAAACUAUUUUCUCCCAUUCUGUAAGUUGUCUUUUUGUUUUCUUUUGGGUUUCCUUUGCUGUGCAAAAGCUUUUCAGUUUGAUGAGGUCCCAUGGGUUUAUUUUUGCUCUAAUUUCUAUUGCUUUGGGAGACUGACCUGAGAAAAUAUUCAUGAUGUUGAUGUCAGAGAGUGUUUUGCCUAUGUUUUCUUCUAGGAGUUUGAUGGUGUCCUGUCGUAUAUUUAAGUCUUUCAGCCAUUUGGAGUUUAUUUUUGUGCAUGGUGUGAGGGUGUGUUCUAGUUUCAUUGCUUUGCAUGCAGCUGUCCAGGUUUCCCAGCAAUGCUUGCUGAAUAGACUUUCUUUUUCCCAUUUUAUGUUCUUGCCUCCCUUGUCAAAGAUUAAUUGACCAUAGGUGUCAGGGUUUAUUUCCGGAUUCUCUAUUCUGUUCCAUUGGUCUGUCUGUCUGUUUUGAUACCAGUACCACACUGUUUUGAUGACUGUGGCUUUGUAGUAUUUCUUGAAGUCUGGGAGAGUUAUGCCUCCUGCUUGGUUUUUGUUUCUCAGGAUUGCUUUGGCGAUUCUGGGUCUUUUGUGGUUCCAUAUAAAUGUUUGGAUUGUUUGUUCUAGUUCUGUGAAAAAUGUCAUGGGUAAUUUGAUAGGGAUUGCAUUGAAUCUGUAGAUUGCUUUGGGUAGGAUGGCCAUUUUCACAAUAUUGAUUUUUCCAAUCCAGGAACAUGGAAUAUCUUUCCAUUUCUUUACAUCUUCUUUGAUUUCUUUGAUUAAGGUUUUAUAGUUCUCGGCAUAUAGGUCCUUUACCUCUUUGGUCAGGUGUAUUCCGAGGUAUUUGAUUUUGUGAGGUACAAUUUUAAAAGGUAUCGUAUUUUUGUAUUCCUUUUCUAAUGUUUCAUUGCUGGUAUACAGAAAUGCAACUGACUUCUGAAUGUUAAUCUUAUAUCUUGCCACUUUGCUGAAGUUAUUAAUCAGUUCAAGGAGUUUUGGGGUUGAGUCCUUAGGGUUUUCUAUGUAUAGUAUCAUGUCAUCUGCAUACAGUGACAGUUUGAUCUCUUCUCUUCCUAUAUGGAUGCCUUUUAUUUGUUUGUUUAAUUGCUGUGGCUAAGACUUCCAAAACUAUGUUGAAGAGCAGUGGUGAGAGUGGGCAUCCCUGUCUUGUUCCCGAUUUGAUGAGAAGGCUUUCAAUUUUUCUCAAUUGAGUAUUAUAUUUGCAGUGUGUUUGUCAUAAAUGGCUUCGAUUAUGUUAAGGAAUGUUCCAUCUAUACCCAGUUUGGUGAGAUUGUUUUUACAAUAAAUGGAUGUUGGACUUUGUCAAAUGCUUUUUCUGCAUCUAUUGUGAUGAUCAUAUGGUUUUUGACUUUUCUUUUGUUAAUGUUGUGUAUGACAUUGAUUGAUUUGCAUAUGUUGAACCAUCCUUGUGAACCUGGGAUGAACCUCAUCUGGUCAUGGCAUAUGAUCUUUUUGACAUGUUGUUGGAUUUGGUUGGCUACAAUUUUGUUGAGAAUGUUUGCAUCUAUAUUAAUCAAAGGAGUUCCCGUCGUGGCGCAGUGGUUAACGAAUCCGACUAGGAACCAUGAGGUUGCGGGUUCGGUCCCUGCCCUUGCUCAGUGGGUUAACGAUCCAGCGUUGCUGUGAGCUGUGGUGUAGGUUGCAGACGCGGCUCGGAUCCCGCGUUGCUGUGGCUCUGGUGUAGGCCGGUGCUACAGCUCCGAUUCAACCCCUGGCGUGGGAACCUCCAUAUGCCGCGGGAGCGGCCCAAGAAAUAGCAACAACAACAAACAA